AUCCAGCUGACGAGUCCAAAAAAGGACGAAACGCGCGUGUUGGAU
rfam:Schistosoma haematobium scaffold46_46, whole genome shotgun sequence.